rnacentral:tRNA from 1 species
AUAUAGUUUGGUGUAUUGCACGUUUAAUUUUGAUUUAUUAGGGAUGGUUUAUACCAUAAGCUGUAA